CUUGUUAUAAUGAUGACUUGUCCAAAAACUUCUUGUAGGGAAGCUGGAUAAUGUCUGACAGCCGACAAG
rfam:Larimichthys crocea isolate SSNF unplaced genomic scaffold scaffold297, whole genome shotgun sequence.